UACGGAGGAUUCGAGCGUUAUCCGGAUUUAUUGGGUUUAAAGGGUCCGUAGGCGGGCUUUUAAGUCAGUGGUGAAAUCCCAGAGCUCAACUCUGGAACUGCCAUUGAAACUGGAGGUCUUGAAUUUGGUAGAGGUAGGCGGAAUACGUUAUGUAGCGGUGAAAUGCAUAGAUAUAACGUAGAACACCGAUUGCGAAGGCAGCUUACUAUAGCAAUAUUGACGCUGAUGGACGAAAGCGUGGGGAGCGAACAGG
rnacentral:rRNA from 1 species